rnacentral:rRNA from 1 species
AGGCCUAACACAUGCAAGUCGAGCGGUAGCACAGAGAAGCUUGCUUCUUGGGUGACGAGCGGCGGACGGGUGAGUAACGCGUGGGAAUCUACCUGGUAGUGGGGGACAACAGUCGGAAACGACUGCUAAUACCGCAUACGCCCUUCGGGGGAUAGUGGGGGAUCUUCGGACCUCACGCUAUCAGAUGAGCCCGCGUCGGAUUAGCUUGUUGGUGAGGUAAAGGCUCACCAAGGCGAUGAUCCGUAGCUGGUCUGAGAGGAUGACCAGCCACACUGGGACUGAGACACGGCCCAGACUCCUACGGGAGGCAGCAGUGGGGAAUAUUGGACAAUGGGGGCAACCCUGAUCCAGCCAUGCCGCGUGUGUGAAGAAGGCCUUCGGGUUGUAAAGCACUUUCAGCUGUGAGGAAAGGCGAGUGGUUAAUACCCGCUUGCUGUGACGUUAACAGCAGAAGAAGGACC